rnacentral:rRNA from 1 species
CCUACGGGUGGCAGCAGUGAGGAAUAUUGGUCAAUGGACGAAAGUCUGAACCAGCCAUGCCGCGUGCAGGAAGACGGCUCUAUGAGUUGUAAACUGCUUUUGUACAGGGAUAAACGCAGAUACGCGUAUCUGUCUGAAAGUAUCGUACGAAUAAGGAUCGGCUAACUCCGUGCCAGCAGCCGCGGUAAUACGGAGGAUUCAAGCGUUAUCCGGAGUUAUUGGGUUUAAAGGGUGCGUAGGCGGGCGGAUAAGUCAGAUGUGAAAUCCCGCGGCUCAACUUUGGAAUUGCCUUUGAUACUGGUCGGCUAGAGAGCAGUUGCGGUAGGCGGAAUGUAUGGUGUAGCGGUGAAAUGCUUAGAGAUCACACAGAACCCCGAUUGCGAAGGCAGCUUACCAAGCUACUUCUGACGUUGAUGCACGAAAGCGUGGGUAGCAAACAGGAUUAGAUACCCGGGUAGUC